UAAAGCAGUGAUGAGUCCUACUACAGACCGGUGAUGAUCGCAACUCUUUUAAGAACGUCUAAGGGACUGAGUUCCA